CAAACUGAUAGAGGUGCGGUCCUUAAAGAGUAACCGUCUGGAGAAGUGUGGGCUUCGAAGAAGGAUGGCGAAAGGGAAGGAUCGCCGAAGUGAAAAUAAGACCCAUCAUUAUUUUUGCUGGUUCUGCAUUGAAUAAGUGCAGGAUUGUCAGCAUGAAGGUACAUUCAUGCUGGAGGGCUAUCUCAGAU
rnacentral:ncRNA from 2 species